rnacentral:rRNA from 1 species
AGUGAACGCUGGCGGUAGGCCUAACACAUGCAAGUCGAACGGCAGCACAGUAAGAGCUUGCUCUUACGGGUGGCGAGUGGCGGACGGGUGAGGAAUACAUCGGAAUCUACUUUUUCGUGGGGGAUAACGUAGGGAAACUUACGCUAAUACCGCAUACGACCUACGGGUGAAAGCAGGGGAUCUUCGGACCUUGCGCGAUUGGAUGAGCCGAUGUCGGAUUAGCUAGUUGGCGGGGUAAAGGCCCACCAAGGCGACGAUCCGUAGCUGGUCUGAGAGGAUGAUCAGCCACACUGGAACUGAGACACGGUCCAGACUCCUACGGGAGGCAGCAGUGGGGAAUAUUGGACAAUGGGCGCAAGCCUGAUCCAGCCAUACCGCGUGGAUGAAGAAGGCCUUCGGGUUGUAAAGCCCUUUUGUUGGGAAAGAAAAGCAGCAGGUUAAUACCCCGCUGUUCUGACGGUACCCAAAGAAUAAGCACCGGCUAACUUCGUG